UGAGGAUGUAGCUUAGUGGUAAAGCACUUGUCUCACAUGCAGAAGGCCCUGGGUUGAAUCCCCAGCACAUCAA
rnacentral:tRNA from 1 species